UGCUCAGGACGAACGCUGGCGGCGUGCCUAACACAUGCAAGUCGAGCGAGGAGAUCCUUCGGGAUGAUCCUAGCGGCGGACGGGUGAGUAACACGUGGGCAACCUGCCUCAUAGAGAGGAAUAGCCUUCCGAAAGGGAGAUUAAUACCUCAUAACAUUGCAGUUUCGCAUGGAACAGCAAUUAAAGGAGUAAUCCGCUAUGAGAUGGGCCCGCGGCGCAUUAGCUAGUUGGUGAGGUAACGGCUCACCAAGGCGACGAUGCGUAGCCGACCUGAGAGGGUGAUCGGCCACAUUGGGACUGAGACACGGCCCAGACUCCUACGGGAGGCAGCAGUGGGGAAUAUUGCACAAUGGGGGAAACCCUGAUGCAAGCAACGCCGCGUGAGUGAUGACGGCCUUCGGGUUGUAAAGCUCUGUCUUCAGGGACGAUAAUGACGGUACCUGAGGAGGAAGCCACGGCUAACUACGUGCCAGCAGCCGC
rnacentral:rRNA from 1 species